UACGAAGGGGGGCGAGCGUUGUUCGGAUUUACUGGGCGUAAAGGGCGCGCAGGCGGCUAUCCAAGUCAGGCGUGAAAGCCCCGGGCUUAACCUGGGAGGUGCGUCUGGGACUGGGUGGCUAGAGUUCGGGAGAGGAGAGUGGAAUUCCCAGUGUAGAGGUGAAAUUCGUAGAUAUUGGGAAGAACACCGGUGGCGAAGGCGGCUCUCUGGACCGAGACUGACGCUGAGGCGCGAAAGCGUGGGGAGCAAACAGG
rnacentral:rRNA from 1 species